CCUACGGGGGGCAGCAGUGAGGAAUAUUGGUCAAUGGGCGAGAGCCUGAACCAGCCAAGUCGCGUGAGGGAGUACUGCCCUAUGGGUUGUAAACCUCUUUUGUCGGGGAGCAAAAGCCGGACGUGUCCGGCUGUGAGAGUUCCCGAAGAAAAAGCAUCGGCGAACUCCGUGCCAGCAGACGCGGUAAUACGGAGGAUGCGAGCGUUAUCCGGAUUUAUUGGGUUUAAAGGGUGCGCAGGCGGAUUUUUAAGUCAGCGGUAAAAUCGUGGGGCUCAACCCCAUCCAGCCGUUGAAACUGCGUGGCUAGAGUGCAGGAGGGGCAGGCGGAAUUCCUGGUGUAGCGGUGAAAUGCGUAGAUAUCAGGAGGAACACCGGUGGCGAAGGCGGCCUGCUGGACUGCAACUGACGUUGAGGCCCGAAAGCGUGGGGAGCAAACAGGAUUAGAUACCCUAGUAGUC
rnacentral:rRNA from 1 species